UUAGAGGCAAACGGGUGGACCCGCAAUGACGUCGACCCGGGGGAUUCAACCAGGCCGUUGCGAUCGGGACGCGUGGGGGUUAUGCGGAGCUGUAAAGCCCGUGCCUUUGCGUGGGUCUCCGGGCGGACUGGUGCACUUUCCUCGGGUUGAUUGCCACGACCGGCUCUCCGUGCGGCCACAAGCCUGUUGCUGGGAAGGUGACCGUGGGCCCCGCGCCCGCGGUGUUAUAGACCAGCUUGCUGGUUGAGCUCGUCGGAGGGCCGAGGAAGUUGCCGUUUCUCACCACCCUCUGGCCAUCCUUGCUCGUCACGACUGGGGUGAACUGCUUCGUCAGUGCUCUCCCGACCGCGAGCGUAGGAAGGGCUGGUACGGUGCGAGAAUGCUUCGGGCCAGUGGCGAAUCGGUCGGUCCUCCACCCGACC
rnacentral:rRNA from 1 species